GACGAACGCUGGCGGCGUGCUUAACACAUGCAAGUCGAACGGAAAGGCCCUGCUUUUGUGUGUUGCUCGAUUGGCGAACGUGUGUGUAACACGUGAGUAACCUGCCCUUUACUUUGGGAUAACUUCAGGUAACUUGUGCUAAUACCCGAUAUGAUCUCCUGCUGCAUUGUGGGGGUUGGAAAUUUUCGGCGGUUGGGGAUGGACUCGCGGCUUAUCAGCUUGUUGGUGGGGUAGUGGAUUACCAAGGCUUUGACGGGUAGCCGGCAUGAGAGGGUGACCGGGCAAAUUGGGACUGAGAUACGGACCAGAAUGCUACGGGAGGCAGCAGUGGGGAAUAUUGCACAAUGGGCGGAAGCCUGAUGCAGCAACGCAGGGUGCGGGAUGACGGCCUUAGGGUUGUAAACAGAUUUGGACUGUGAAGAAGAGUGAGUGACGGUAAUGGGUAAAGAAGCACCGGCUAACUACGUG
rnacentral:rRNA from 1 species